AAAGGGAGACCUAAUUCAGGUAUGAGACGAAAAAAAAGUAGUCCCUACCAAGAAUCAAUCCCAAAAGGUCGGAGCGAGGCGAAAUUGGCUUUCAAACUAGGUUCUGGGUUCAAACAAGACCUGAAUCAGGAACAAGGGCUAUUAGCUCAGGUGGUUAGAGCGCACCCCUGAUAAGGGUGAGGUCCCUGGUUCGAGUCCAGGAUGGCCCACCUGCACAGGUGGCAAAAACAAAGAAGCGAGGAAUCAGCACCUUAUCUUACUGACAUAGUAAGAGAGAAUGCUGGCUCUGAGUACAGAGUCCAGAGGAACCUUGAAAACUGCAUAGAGCUAGGUGAAAAAGCCAAAAAAGAAGACCGCAAG
rnacentral:tRNA from 1 species